AUGCAGAUGGCGACGAGCAGAAGCAGAGGCCCCGUUCCCAUGUUUGCUGAGCAGAGGCGUUGGAGCCCUGGAGUGAGGUCUCAGCUGUUCUCUCCACCUCACUGCACAGAGAAAACACCCCAGAGUAUCCUGUUCAGAGCCACUUCCUUACCCUACAUCCCAGUGGAUGCAGCUUCUGAAAGGAAGCAGAGUCGGCAAGGACAGAGUGCUUUUGGGAAUCAUUCCCAGCAUAUGGAGACUGCAGUCUACAGCAAGAAAGGGCAGCUCCCUCAGCAAGUGGAAAAUGGGCUUCACCUCCCUGUGGUCUCCCUGUGGUUUGCUUCCCUUGCGAUAUUAUUUUUGAAUAGCAGGCAGGAGCUUGGUGUCUCUUGCUCUGUUUAGUACAUCCAAUAACCAAACCUGGCCCGCUUCUGGGUGGUCCUCGUGAAAUACCAGAAAACCACGCAAAGGCCAUGUGAUUUAAUAGACAUAAGAAACAGAGGAAUUGCUUUGACAGAUACCUCAAAAUCAGUUUUUCAAGAAAUGAGAUGUUUCAACCAAUAUGUCCAUUCCAUUUGUGUUUUUUCCCCUAUUUCUUUUUCUCUUUCUUUGCCCUUUGUUCUUCAUUCUGAUAAACCAGCCUGGAAAAUGUAGAUCACUGAUGUGUUGAUGCUUGACUUGGUCUUAGGCUGAGAAAUAAUACACACAGUGCCUUCCAGGUUAAAGAAUUCAGAUCCCAGUCACUAGGCAGACUGGAUCACUUCAGGAUCAAGAAAGAGGAAGGAUACAAAGAGCCAGCCAUGAAAGCACAGACAUAAGCAUGAUUUCCUUUUAGUUUCCUGUGUACUUUGUGGCUAGAGCUACUAUUGAUUCCAGAACCUGCAUGUUGCUGGGCAGCUCACCUGCCCUCUCUGCCAGCAGACUGCCCUGGCACCAACAGCUGCAAUCCCAACUCAGAGCACAGCCCUGCUCUUCUGCCCCAGUUCCCACAUCUUCCCAUCCUCCAGAUCUGCUCUUCAGAUGUAUCACCCAUAGAAGCUGAGAUGGUGGGUUGAGCAACACUAAAGAGAGAGAAAUAACCCAAGUUCUUCUGGACCAAGCAGGAUAUGGAACCAGGAGCAGAGGCUGCUUGCAAAUCAACUUGCUCUGCUCCUCAGUCCCUGGCAGAAGCAGGGCACCAGCCAGCUCGUUCCCUAACAAUGCUGAAGUCAGAAGGAAAAUAAGAAUUUUAUCUCAAUCCCCAACACAGUCCUUGCCAGCCGUUAAUGAUGUGAACUUAACUGACAUUUUCCAUUCAAAACUUUUUACAAUUGUAUUGCAGAUAUACACAGUAAUUUCUGGAGAGGAUAGGAACCCAAGUCUCUUCAGAAGGAAAUAACAGGCUGGCCAGAAACUGUAGUAA
rnacentral:lncRNA from 1 species